CAACUGUGCAGUGUUGCACAACGCCAGUUGACCAUCGGAUCUAGACCGCUAAGAUCAAAAAUCAACAGAAAUAAUAUUUUACUUCCGAAUUUCCGAUUUGGGCCAAUUUCUGGGUAUUAAAUUGUUACGAUUCGCAGACAAAGGGCGCAGAGAAUCUGUGUUGUCAACAAUGGGAACACCCACACGCAUUGUGGCCAUGUGACAAGUCGCAUUUUCGGCAAGAUCAAGCGAUCACAACAAAGUGCCAACAGGGCCAAUAGGGCCAAAUUGUAUUCCCAACAAAUAAUUGCUUAUCGUUUGUUUGGCGGACGCAGGCUGCUGCGGCUGAUAAUGUCAUUAUCCUGGGCGCAGAGAAGCACAAGGAGUCCGAGUCCUGCUCGCCGCAUGACGUCACCAGUUGCAGGUAAUCUACUUAUUACAUUAAAGAGCGAGAAAUGGAAAGUGUGUAAUUUUGAUAUUUCACUUAUAAAACUUGUAUAAGGGACAAGCCGACAA